CCACACCCCGACGCAAUACCACGACCACACCUCGACGUCGCCCCUACUGAAAAUCGUUGAGGCCCCAAACCACCAUAAACAGCAUCAACACUCCCACUUCGCCACUGCUGAAAACCAUAUUAGCAUGAAAAUCAUCCACCGCUUUAAAUAUCUUCGAAAAAUUUGAAAGAUUUGGUUAUUAGAACCGUAGUGAAGGUGUCAGUUAAAAUGAUGAAACUGAAGAAAUAAGAUUUGAGCAUACUACUCUGGCCAUUAAUGGGGAGAAAUGAGGUCGAGAGUAGGCAGAAUUUGAUUACUAUGUGGUGGCUAUUAAUUCUUUGUAGUAGAAAUUUGAUGAUAGAUAUAUGGGUGUUUUGGGGAUUUUAUAACAUAUUUAAUACGUUC
rnacentral:lncRNA from 1 species